rnacentral:misc_RNA from 1 species
CAUGGAUUUGUUUUGCCUGUAAUUUUAUCUUAUCGCAAAUUCUGCCGUGAUUUCCGCAUUCAAAUUCAAAAGUUACAUUUUAUAAUGUCUUAUUAAGUUCUUCUCAGUUCCCAGCCACGAUGGAACAACUUUACGCGCUCGGUGUAUCUGCCAUAGAAGUGAUACAAGUAUGGUUCGCCGACUACGAAGGCUAUCUAGAGAUGGUGAAUGACGUCUUCAACCCGAACCACAUGCUGGAGAUUCUAUUUCCCGUUGUAUCCAUCGUGGACUCCGUAUUCGCUGCCCAGCUGGUCCUGUGCAUGGCCUUUGGAAACUGGCUUAACGCUGUCAUGAAAUGGUGGCUGGUAGAAGACAGACCAUACUGGUGGAUCAGAGAGACAGACUUCUACACGGGGGGGCGGAGGCCUAUCCUCAAACAGUUCAGGCAGACCUGCGAGACAGGGCCUGGGUGUCCGUCCGGUCACUCGGAGACUGCCGCCAUACUGCUCAUACUCACAAUAUGCUGGGUGUCUCAUCUCAUGAAUGAUAGAAAGUGUUACGUGUGGUGGUGGAAGUACGUGAUGUACCCUGUCUGCGCCGCAUCGCUGCUGAGCGUGAUGCUGGCGAGACUGUUCAUAGCCGUGCACUUCCCACAUCAGGUCCUCGCCGGCGCGCUAGUUGGCGGGUUCCUCGCCCCGGCGCUAUGCAUCUACGUGACUGACCCGUACAUAUGGCAGUACGGGGUCCACGUAGAGUACGGGGUGGGUAAGACCAUGGCCUGGCAUGUGGCCAGUGUGGUCACCAUCAUUGCCAUCAGCGGGGUCACGUACUACGGUUUAGUGCUGUGCGGGUUUGAUCCGCAAUGGACUAUUAAAUUGGCUUUCCGCUGGUGUGAGUCUCCACAAAACAUCCAUGUGACCACGACGCCCAUGUUCGCCCUGGCCCACUCCACCGGUUACCUGCUGGGCUGGGCGCUCACUGUCACCCCCUCAGUCGCACAGUACCGUCACUAUACAAAGUCUCGAUCGCUGAUAAUUUCAGCUUUCACAACUACCCUCAUUUACUACACGUUUAAAUGUCUUCAAGACAACGUGAACAAAGAACACGCGUUACUUUUCUACUUCCAAAUAUUUCUCCUCUGUGCUUUAAAGGUACCGUUUCUGCUGCGAGUGGGCCCUGCAGUUGCUAUGCUACCGUAUUCUAAGGUUAAAAAAGAUUAGAUAGAUAAUUUGAUUAGACAAAUUGCACAGUCUUAUUUGAUAAAAACAUGGCCUCAAAUUACGGUGAUUGGGCCAUAACCAAUGAGGGCCUUUCCAGCUUCAUCAUCAUCAGCCCCUUAACGUCCCCACUGCUGGGGCACGGGCCUUCCCUAUAGAUGGAUGGAUAGAUCGGGCCUUAAACCACCACGCGGGCCCAGUGCGGACUCUUGGUUAUUAACGACUGCUAAUGCAGCCGGGACCAACAGCUUAACGUGCCUUCCGAAGCACGGAGGAGCUCGAGAUGAAAACUUUUUUUUUGUGGUCACCCAUCCUAUGACCGGCCUUUGCUAAAGUUGCUUAACUUCAACAAUCGCAGCCAGAGCGCGUUUACCGCUGCGCCACCGAGCUCCUCAAUUACCUAUCCGUGCUGUAAUCACUGAAGUUCCGUUUUCGAGAAUGUUCUCAAAGCCGGAAUGUUCCUGUUGUAAAAACUCUUUAUAAUAAUGACACUGGCUUCUUUUUUUCUUUUUUUUCUUUCUUGUCCUCUGAUCCUAUAAGCCUAAAGGUAAUAAAGUCCUUUUUACGUAACUAUUCAGCCUUCUUAUUUCCCAAAGCAAGGACGGUACGGUCACGAGUACUAAUAUGACAUACACUUUGAAACCAUGUCAAAUUAACUUGUUUGAAAAAAAAAACCGUAAGUCUCAUUAAAUGUCAAAUAUGAUAGUGCGACAGGGUUCUAAAGUGGGUACAUAAUAUUGCUCAUGACUGUACUUACUGAAAAACCCGAAGGAUGUGAUAUACGAUCCCGACGACCCGAUUACCUUAGCCAUAGAGGCGGCCAAUCAACUCGCGACAACAAACACUUCAAGGCGAUACUGACUCCGCUGGCGUGGUCGACGAUUUCCCUCAUUCAGCGCUUAUCGCUAUCGAUCCACUAGGGUCGAUUAAUUCUUUCAAAUAUGAUCCCCUCAGAUGACGCCCUGAGCCGAGGUUCGCGCCCAACUGGGCGCCCUCAGGCCUGUAGUCUCAAAUUUUAGCCCUCAGACCUGUUGUCUUAAAUUUUAUACCGGGCGAGAGCCCUCAGCGCUCCCCAUUUGUCCGGCCAAGUAGUUAAUGCCAUUUGUCAAAGUGGGAACAUUCCUGUCAACAGCACAUCACUGGCUGAAAUGUAACAUGAAUACCUAUUAAGUACAAUUUCUUUUUAAAUUUCCACCAAAUUUUUGUAAAGAAAAAUGUAAAUUAAGUGCGACAUUUUGUCACGUUUUUCUAUGACGUCACAGGUUGCUUUUUCAUAAAAAUUCAUUGUAAUUUUGUGUUUUGACGUUUAGUAAAAAGUUACCGAUCUGAUCUCCAAAUUGGAGAUGACGCACGCCGGUUCAGAGUAUCAAUAUACGAUCUACUCUGAACCGGUGUGCGUGUAUGAAGCGAUUGAUGAAUGUGGAGGAAGCAAGAGAAGUGUGUCAGGAUCGAAGCAAAUGGAAUUCUAUAGUCUCUGCUUACCCCGGUGGGAAAUAGGCGUGAGUUUAUGUAUGUAUGUAUGUUACUGAUCUGACUAUAUACUUAUAUUUUUACCAAUGCUACUGUUGGUCGUCAUAAUCUUUUACAAUUUGGCUCCUUCUAUCGUGUAAGUUGU